rnacentral:tRNA from 1 species
GGGCGCAUAGCUCAGCGGUAGAGCAGCUGACUUUUAAUCAGCGGGUCGAAGGUUCGAUUCCUUCUGCGCUCACCA